rnacentral:rRNA from 1 species
AUUGAACGCUGGCGGCAGGCCUAACACAUGCAAGUCGAACGAGUGGCGGACGGGUGAGUAACGUGUAGGUAACUGCCUCAUAGCGGGGGAUAACUAUUGGAAACGAUAGCUAAUACCGCAUACUGUGAGAUGGACCUGCGUUGUAUUAGCUAGUUGGUGAGGUAAAGGCUCACCAAGGCGACGCUACAUAGCCGACCUGAGAGGGUGUUCGGCCAAAAUUGGACUGGGACACGGCCCAAACUCCCACGGGAAGCAGCAGUAGGGAAUCUUCGGCAAUGGACGGAAGGCUGGCCGAGCAACGCCGCGUUCGUGGAGAAGGUUUUCGGAUCGUAAAGCUCUGUUGUUAGAGAAGCGGUAACUGACCAGAAAGGGACGGCUAACUACGUGCCAGCAGCCGCGGUAAUUC